UGCAUGUGGGGGUUACUGCGGGGGUAGGCAGUAAUAUAGUUGCAUAUGAGAGUUACUGUGGGGGUAGGCAGUUUGAAGUUGCAUACUUAACCGAUCGAGAGCACUGCCGUGUCCCGGAUUACCACCAACUUCCCCAAAUAUAAUUGCAACACUGGAGUGACAUGAUGGCAUGAAGUGAGUGAUAAUAUUGCCUUGAUCGAUGGCUGUAACAUCUUGUUACUUGAUGAUUGUUGUAUGCAUAAGAUGCUUCCUGUACUGGAAAUUCUUGCAAACGUAUAUGGUCUUUGUACCAUAUUCGUAAGAUGCCUCUUGUCAUGUGCCUUUAUAAACACUGCAUUUCCCCAAUUAAGUGACAAUUCUUGCCAACUUAUGGUCUAGGUACCAUUGUCUUAUUGACGGUCUAAGAUGCCUCCACCAAGCAUCCAAUUAAGUGGCAAUUCAUUCCAACUUAUGGUCUAGGUGCCAUUGUCUUAUUGACGGUAUAAGAUGCCUCCACCAAGCAUUCAAUUAAGUGGCAAUUCAUUCCAACUUAUGGUCUAGGUACCAUUGUCUUAUUGACGGUAUAAGAUGCCUCCCGGUGACCAAGCAUCCAAUUAAGUGGCAAUUCAUUGCUAUAGGUGCCAUUGUCUUAUUGACGGUAUAAGAUGCCUCCACCAAGCAUCCAAUUAAGUGGCAAUUCAUUCCAACUUAUGGUCUAGGUGCCAUUGUCUUAUUGACGGUAUAAGAUGCCUCCACCAAGCAUCCAAUUAAGUGGCAAUUCAUUCCAACUUUUUUGGUCUAGGUACCAUUGUCUUAUUGACAGUAUAAGAUGCCUCCACCAAGCAUCCAAUUAAGUGGCAAUUCAUUCCAACUUAUGGUCUAGGUGCCAUUGUCUUAUUGACGGUAUAAGAUGCCUCCACCAAGCAUCCAAUUAAGUGGCAAUUCAUUCCAACUUAUGGUCUAGGUGCCAUUGUCUUAUUGACGGUAUAAGAUGCCUCCACCAAGCAUCCAAUUGAGUGGCAAUUCAUUCCAACUUAUGGUCUAGGUGCCAUUGUCUUAUUGACGGUAUAAGAUGCCUCCACCAAGCAUCCAAUUAAGUGGCAAUUCAUUCCAACUUAUGGUCUAGGUGCCAUUAAUUGUCUUAUUGACGGUAUAAGAUGCCUCCACCAAGCAUCCAAUUAAGUGGCAAUUCAUUCCAACUUAUGGUCUAGGUGCCAUUGUCUUAUUGACGAUAUAAGAUGCCUCCACCAAGCAUCCAAUUAAGUAUUGAUAGAUUGAUACCACCAUUAUCAUUGGACGCUACUGACUGCCGGAAAUGAUCCCUUCUCUGCCGAUCGAGGCCACACUCUCACAGCUCCUAUGAUCCCUUCUCUGCCGAUCGAGGCCACACUCUCACAGCUCCUAUGAUCCCUUCUCUCUGCCGAUCGAGGCCACACUCUCACAGCUCCUAUGAUCCCUUCUCUGCCGAUCGAGGCCACACUCUCACAGCUCCUAAUAAGUUCUGUCUGGUCAGUAAGUUGCCUUUGGUGACAUCUACUCCAAUUUGAGUAACCAUGCACAAUGAUCCUAUGUCAAUUGGCCAUUGUAUAUCUCUCAAUUGGUCCAAGUGAUAUGCUACCAAGUGCAUGGUGUGUAUACCUGGCUCCCAAGUUGUCUCCACUGUACAUGUCUGUAUACGGUGGCAAUAACUAACUGCAACUCUGUGGUUAUGGCUCCGGCCUAUAGAACUCUCUGUUCGACUGCGGGGUGUUCACCCCCAAGCAGCUGAGUAAGGCUCCGGCCUCUGCAUGGUAUAUCUCUCAAUUGGUCCAAGUGAUAUGCCAAGUGGUAACAACUGCUGUGUAUACCUGGCUCCCAAGUUAUCUCCACUGUACAUGUCUGUAUGGUGGCAACUUGUAGCUGCAACUCUGUGGUUGUGCUGAUGCAUUGAUAGUGUGUUUGACGGUGGCCCUAACAACUAUGAGGUGGCCCUAACUACCCAUCCACGACAGAAAGCCAUGUUCCCAGUGCCUCAACAACUCUCUCAACCAACUGAUCUGUCUCUGCAUGUCUCUGCUGGAGUUCCUGUCCACUCGUGCUCGUGUUCAUCCCAGCUGAAGAAGGCUUCGGCCUCGCAGCUGAGUCCCCUGUCCAUGCACUCAUGGCAGGGGCAGGCUCUGUCACGAUGCACUGUUCUCCAAUGGUCACACUGAAGCAAGUUAUCUCCACUGUACAUGUCUGUAUGGUGGCAACUUGUAGCUGCAACUCUGUGGUUGUGGUGAUGCAUUGAUAGUGUGUGUGAGGUGGCCCUAACAACUAUGAGGUGGCCCAUCCACGACAGAAAGCCAUGUUCCCAGUGCCUCAACAACUCUCUCAACCAACUGAUCUGUCUCUGCAUGUCUCUGCUGGAGUUCCUGUCCACUCGUGCUCGUGUUCAUCCCAGCUGAAGAAGGCUUCGGCCUCGCAGCUGAGUCCCCUGUCCAUGCACUCAUGCAUGGCAGGGGCAGGCUCUGUUCACGAGGCACUGUUCUCCGAUGGUCACACUGAAGGCUGCUUCGGCCAGGUAUGUGUUCUUAUUGUGUAUACUCAUGGCAGGGACAGACUCUGAUCGCCCCAAAGGCUUCGGCCUAACACUUCUCUCCGAUGUUCACCUGAAGGCUUCGGCCUGGAAUGUGUUCUCCCGUGUUCAUCCCAGCUGAAGAAGGCUUCGGCCUUGCAGCUGAGUCCCCUGUCCAUGCACUCAUGGCAGGGGCAGGCUCUGAUCACCCCAACCUGAAGGCGGCCAGACCAUCGGCCCCACAGCAGAAGACGGACCUCUGAUCUGCGUCUAUCUGCUGGAGUUCCUGUCCACUCGUGUUCGUGUUCAUCCCAGCUGAAGAAGGCUUCGGCCUCGCAGCUGAGUCCCCUGUCCAUGCACUCAUGGCAGGGGCGGCUCUGUUCACCCCGAUCUGAAGAAGGCGGCCAGACUAUCGGCCCCACAGCAGAAGACGGACUUCUGAUCUGCGUCUAUCUCUGCUGGAGUUCCUGUCCACUAGUGCUCGUCUCGUGUUCAUCCCAGCUGAAGAAGGCUUCGGCCUCGCAGCUGAGUCCCCUGUCCAUGCACUCAUGGCAGGGGCAGGCUCUGUUCACCCCGACCUGAAGGCGGCCAGACCAUCGGCCCCACAGCAGAAGGUGGACUCAGCCAUGGGUUUUACAGACGGGGAAAGGGAAUUGUUCGUAUGGUAUAGCUAUUGAUGUACACAGCGAUUAUGUAAUAACACAAUGCUUAACCGUCUUCUUCUUCUGCCCCCAGGAAAUUUUAAUGAACGAGCGGACUGAUAAUAUGGACUGGUGAAGAGUUACUUGUAACGCCUGAUAUACUAUUGCGACAGAUCUGAAGCUCUGAAGACGAGACAAUACAAUUAUGGUGGGAACAUUUAUAUUGGCUGACAACAUAAUGUAUUGAGUCACUGGUACAACCUGUCUAAUUGUAGCUGACCAAAAACUUAAUUGUGAGGCAAAAAAAUACGAUUCUAUGUACAGGCCCAUACCGAUAUACAGGGGCCUGGUUAAUUCCAUAUGGAACUCACCAGGAUCACUUACAUAAUAUUUAUCAUGGCAAUCAACACUAUAGAAGUUGAAGUAGAACGAACCACAUAAUAAUAAUAAUAAUGUAACGUUAUCAGAUCUCUACACGUCUAUACCUUGCGGUAGAAUAUGGGGCGCCAAACGUUGCAUAAUAUAAAAAGUAUCAUUGUUUAGAAAUUAUUAUUCUUUACACAAUACCAUCUUUCUUUGUACAACAAAAUAUGCUUCUUUCCACAUAUAAUUAGUGUUGUUUCAACAAUCCAUGCAUUUAUAUGGAUUCAUCACAAUCAGGUGAUCUUAAUUCACAAUCAAACAUUGCAUAAUAUAAAAAGUAUCAUUGUUUAGAAAUUAUUAUUCUUUACACAAUACCAUCUUUCUUUGUACAACAAAAUAUGCUUCUUUCCACAUAUAAUUAGUGUUGUUUCAACAAUCUAUGCAUUUAUAUGGAUUCAUCACAAUCAGGUGAUCUUAAUUCACAAUCUAUCAGGUGAUCUUAAUUUUUUGGCACAUGCACAGAAGAUUAAUUUGUACGUGGCACAUAUGGGGUGCCGUUUGUGUCAAAAUCCAAAAACAGUCGAUGUUAUGAAAUGGAGUCGACGUCAUAAAUGGAGUCGACAUCAUAAAGGUCGACGUUAUGAAAUAGAGUCGACAUCAUAAAUGGAGUCGACGUCAUAAAGGUCGACGUUAUGAAAUGGAGUCGACGUCAUAAAGGUCGAUGUUUUAUAAAGGAGUUGAUGUUUACCAAGAGUCGACGUCAUAAUUAUAUUAAAGGCCUGGUCAAUGUUUUGCAAAAGAGUCGAUGUUUUGAAAGGAGUUGACACAGUCUAACACAGUGCAUGGAAGGGGUUGCACAAAAGUUACCAAUGGCGACCAGUGCAAACUCAGUGAAUCAUCAAGAUGUAAUAGUUGCGGAAAUAAUGGAGGGACUGUCAAGCACUCUGCUUGGGGAAAGAAGGAGUACAAGUGUGGGAAGACCGAGGUGUGAGUUGGAUGUCGAAGACAUUGAGUUUUUACGAACACUGAUGUUUUCGUACACAAAAAUAGCAGACAUCCUUGGAGUCAGUUGAUUAACACUGUAUCGGAAGAUGGAAGAGAAGGUGUGUCCUUUGAUCGGUAUUCCCCUGUUUCCGAUCAGGUGUUGGACAAUAUUGUUGCUGAGAUCAAACAAUCCCAUCCAAAUGAUGGUGAAGUGUUGUUAACGGGACACCUACGAAGACAGAGCAUAUUUCUCCCUCGUACUCGAAUUAGGGCAUCAAUUCACAGGAUUGAUCCCGUGGGUACUGCUGCUCGCAGAAGCAUUGCUGUUCGAAGGAGAGUCUAUCAUGCGGAUGGGCCAAAUUAUGUGUGGCAUUUAGAUGGCCACCACAAGCUCAUCAAAUACCGUCUAGUUACACAUGCUGCAAUUGAUGGAUAUUCUCGUUUGAUAACUUUUUUAAAGUGUAGCAACAAUAACCGUGCUGUUACUGUGCUCUCAUGUUUCUCAGGAGCUGUUCAAGAACAUGGAUUGCCAACUCAUAUUCGGUCAGACUUAGGAAGAGAAAAUAUAGAUGU